rnacentral:ncRNA from 1 species
CUAUCCCGAUUUUGUAUGAAUCCGCCAUAGGCGGAGAGUCUACAAAAUCGAGGACCCGCCAAAGCCGUGAGGCGACGGCGGGGCUAUAUUCGGGAAAACCCUACUUUGUGAAAACGAAGGGGCAACCCGCAGGGAAGUCCGAUGCAACAGCGGACCCCUCAGAGACUAUACGCUGGGCCCGAAAUAAAACUCGGCGGCGAGUGAGUUACUCGCUCGCCCAAAUUUUUCUUUCGGUGAUGAUAUAGUCCGAACUCGGCCGUAAUGCCGAG